rnacentral:lncRNA from 1 species
GGACAAGUGAGACUUCAAGAAUACAGGAUGCCUACUGUCCCAUGCUCACGAACUCUCUCCCCUCGCUUGUUCUCUGUUCUUUGCUCAAGUGGUAGAGAUCUAAGCAGCUCAUUUUAAAGAAGGGAAAUGACAUUAAGGCAGAGAGGGCAAAGUCAAACUCAAACUCAUUGAACUUGAGAAAUUAAAAUCACGGCAUGGUGGCUGGUUUUCCUUUUCUCAUUCUUCACAGACAGUGGGAGGAUAUGACUCUGGAAAAUUAACAUCAAGUGCUUGUGAGGAAGAAGGGCCUUCCCACGAAGACCUGAAUACCCACCCCAUGCCUGCAGUUGAGGAUCUUUUAUCAUUGGGUCACAACUACCGGCGUGUGAGGCGCGGAUGAUAUGGAAUCACUUCAAGUUUGGUAUUAGGAACAAAACAAAGCAACACAACCCUUGAAGCUGGCCUGUCCCCAGGGAUACAUAUUCUUCAAAGAAAUCUCCAAUACCAACCACUGU